UACGGAGGAUCCGAGCGUUAUCCGGAUUUAUUGGGUUUAAAGGGUGCGCAGGCGGUUUGAUAAGUUAGAGGUGAAAUGUCGGGGCUCAACCCCGAAACUGCCUCUAAUACUGUUGGACUAGAGAAUAGUUGCGGUAGGCGGAAUGUAUGGUGUAGCGGUGAAAUGCUUAGAGAUCAUACAGAACACCGAUUGCGAAGGCAGCUUACCAAACUAUAUCUGACGUUGAGGCACGAAAGCGUGGGUAGCAAACAGG
rnacentral:rRNA from 1 species